GUACACUCCUACGGGAGGCAGCAGUGGGGAAUUUUGGACAAUGGGCGAAAGCCUGAUCCAGCAAUGCCGCGUGUGUGAAGAAGGCCUUCGGGUUGUAAAGCACUUUUGUCCGGAAAGAAAUCCUUGGCUCUAAUACAGUCGAGGGAUGACGGUACCGGAAGAAUAAGCACCGGCUAACUACGUGCCAGCAGCCGCGGUAAUACGUAGGGUGCGAGCGUUAAUCGGAAUUACUGGGCGUAAAGCGUGCGCAGGCGGUUUGCUAAGACCGAUGUGAAAUCCCCGGGCUCAACCUGGGAACUGCAUUGGUGACUGGCAGGCUAGAGUAUGGCAGAGGGGGGUAGAAUUCCACGUGUAGCAGUGAAAUGCGUAGAGAUGUGGAGGAAUACCGAUGGCGAAGGCAGCCCCCUGGGCCAAUACUGACGCUCAUGCACGAAAGCGUGGGGAGCAAACAGGAUUAGAAACCCCAGUAGUCCCAUGA
rnacentral:rRNA from 1 species